rnacentral:rRNA from 1 species
UGCAAGUCGAACGCUUCUUUUUCCACCGGAGCUUGCUCCACCGGAAAAAGAGGAGUGGCGAACGGGUGAGUAACACGUGGGUAACCUGCCCAUCAGAAGGGGAUAACACUUGGAAACAGGUGCUAAUACCGUAUAACAAUCGAAACCGCAUGGUUUUGAUUUGAAAGGCGCUUUCGGGUGUCGCUGAUGGAUGGACCCGCGGUGCAUUAGCUAGUUGGUGAGGUAACGGCUCACCAAGGCCACGAUGCAUAGCCGACCUGAGAGGGUGAUCGGCCACAUUGGGACUGAGACACGGCCCAAACUCCUACGGGAGGCAGCAGUAGGGAAUCUUCGGCAAUGGACGAAAGUCUGACCGAGCAACGCCGCGUGAGUGAAGAAGGUUUUCGGAUCGUAAAACUCUGUUGUUAGAGAAGAACAAGGAUGAGAGUAACUGUUCAUCCCUUGACGGUAUCUAACCAGAAAGCCACGGCUAACUACGUGCCAGCAGCCGCGGUAAUACGUAGGUGGCAAGCGUUGUCCGGAUUUAUUGGGCGUAAAGCGAGCGCAGGCGGUUUCUUAAGUCUGAUGUGAAAGCCCCCGGCUCAACCGGGGAGGGUCAUUGGAAACUGGGAGACUUGAGUGCAGACGAGGAGAGUGGAAUUCCAUGUGUAGCGGUGAAAUGCGUAGAUAUAUGGAGGAACACCAGUGGCGAAGGCGGCUCUCUGGUCUGUAACUGACGCUGAGGCUCGAAAGCGUGGGGAGCAAACAGGAUUAGAUACCCUGGUAGUCCACGCCGUAAACGAUGAGUGCUAAGUGUUGGAGGGUUUCCGCCCUUCAGUGCUGCAGCUAACGCAUUAAGCACUCCGCCUGGGGAGUACGACCGCAAGGUUGAAACUCAAAGGAAUUGACGGGGGCCCGCACAAGCGGUGGAGCAUGUGGUUUAAUUCGAAGCAACGCGAAGAACCUUACCAGGUCUUGACAUCCUUUGACCACUCUAGAGAUAGAGCUUCCCCUUCGGGGGCAAAGUGACAGGUGGUGCAUGGUUGUCGUCAGCUCGUGUCGUGAGAUGUUGGGUUAAGUCCCGCAACGAGCGCAACCCUUAUUGUUAGUUGCCAUCAUUCAGUUGGGCACUCUAGCAAGACUGCCGGUGACAAACCGGAGGAAGGUGGGGAUGACGUCAAAUCAUCAUGCCCCUUAUGACCUGGGCUACACACGUGCUACAAUGGGAAGUACAACGAGUGGCUAAGUCGCGAGGCUAAGCUAAUCUCUUAAAGCUUCUCUCAGUUCGGAUUGUAGGCUGCAACUCGCCUACAUGAAGCCGGAAUCGCUAGUAAUCGCGGAUCAGCACGCCGCGGUGAAUACGUUCCCGGGCCUUGUACACACCGCCCGUCACACCACGAGAGUUUGUAACACCCGAAGUCGGUGAGGUAACCUUUUGGAGCCAGCCG